rnacentral:rRNA from 1 species
AGCGAACGCUGGCGGCAGGCCUAACACAUGCAAGUCGAACGAACUCUUCGGAGUUAGUGGCGGACGGGUGAGUAACACGUGGGAACGUGCCUUUUGGUUCGGAAUAACUCAGGGAAACUUGUGCUAAUACCGAAUGUGCCCUUCGGGGGAAAGAUUUAUCGCCAUUAGAGCGGCCCGCGUCUGAUUAGCUAGUUGGUGAGGUAACGGCUCACCAAGGCGACGAUCAGUAGCUGGUCUGAGAGGAUGACCAGCCACACUGGGACUGAGACACGGCCCAGACUCCUACGGGAGGCAGCAGUGGGGAAUCUUGCGAAAUGGGCGGAAGGCUGACGCAGCCAUGCCGCGUGAAUGAUGAAGGUCUUAGGAUUGUAAAAUUCUUUCACCGGGGACGAUAAUGACGGUACCCGGAGAAGAAGCCCCGGCUAACUUCGUG